rnacentral:rRNA from 1 species
UAGUCUACGCCGUAAACGAUGGAUACUAGUUGUUUGGCCUUCGGGCUGAGUGACUAAGCGAAAGUGAUAAGUAACCCACCUGGGGAGUACGUUCGCAAGAAUGAAACUCAAAGGAAUUGACGGGGGCCCGCACAAGCGGUGGAGCAUGUGGUUUAAUUCGAUGAUACGCGAGGAACCUUACCAGGGCUUAAAUGUAAAGUGACAGGACUAGAGAUAGUUUUUUCUUCGGACACUUUACAAGGUGCUGCAUGGUUGUCGUCAGCUCGUGCCGUGAGGUGUCAGGUUAAGUCCUAUAACGAGCGCAACCCCUGUUGUUAGUUGCCAGCAUGUAAAGAUGGGAACUCUAACAAGACUGCCGGUGCAAACCGAGAGGAAGUGGGGAUGACGUCAAAUCAUCACAGCCCUUACGUCCUGGGCUACACACGUGCUACAAUGGUAGGGACAGAGAGCAGCCACUGCGCGAGCAGGAGCGAAUCUAUAAACCCUAUCACAGUUCGGA